GCCUGCUGGUAUAAUUCAAGCCUGCAGGUAUAAUUCAAGCCUGCAGGUAUAAUUCAAGCCUGCUGGUAUAAUUCAAGCCUGCUGGUAUAAUUCAAGCCUGCUGGUAUAAUUCAAGCCUGGUAAAGGACUGUUUGUGUCACUAACACCCCGAUGUAUUUUUCUUUGUUUUUCACCGUGUGGACCGAGAAGAUCAGGUCAUGGUAAUGUAGUCUAUUAUAACCGCGGAUGACUCUCAACUGGUCUGUCUGUUUGUGUGUGUUUGUAUGUGUGUGUUUCUGUGUAUGUGUGUGUGUGCGUGGGUGUGUGUUUGUUUGUGUCUAUGUGUGUGUGUGUGUGUGUGUGUGUGUGUGUUUGUGUGUGUAAGCUUUACAUUCUGCACAGGGACUCUACAGCGGGACGAGCAACGAUGGUGACAUUGCAGAUCUCGGUGUGAGUCGGUGACAAAGCCUCUGGCUCUCAGAGACAACCUUGACACCAUGUGGACCACAUGUCUUGUCCUGUUCCUUCCUGUCUACGUCUCUACAGUAACCACAUGUCUUGUCCUGUUCCUUCCUGUCUACGUCUCUACAGUAACCACAUGUCUUGUCCUGUUCCUUCCUGUCUACGUCUCUACAGUAACCACAUGUCUUGUCCUGUUCCUUCCUGUCUACGUCUCUACAGUAACCACAUGUCUUGUCCUGUUCCUUCCUGUCUACGUCUCUACAGUAACCACAUGUCUUGUCCUGUUCCUUCCUGUCUACAUCUCUACAGUAACCACAUGUCUUGUCCUGUUCCUUCCUGUCUACGUCUCUACAGUAACCACAUGUCUUGUCCUGUUCCUUCCUGUCUACGUCUCUACAGUAACCACAUGUCUUGUCCUGUUCCUUCCUGUCUACGUCUCUACAGUAACCACAUGUCUUGUCCUGUUCCUUCCUGUCUACGUCUCUACAGUAACCACAUGUCUUGUCCUGUUCCUUCCUGUCUACGUCUCUACAGUAACCACAUGUCUUGUCCUGUUCCUUCCUGUCUACGUCUCUACAGUAACCACAUGUCUUGUCCUGUUCCUUCCUGUCUACGUCUCUACAGUAACCACAUGUCUUGUCCUGUUCCUUCCUGUCUACGUCUCUACAGUAACCACAUGUCUUGUCCUGUUCUUUCCUGUCUACGUCUCUACAGUAACCACAUGUCUUGUCCUGUUCCUUCCUGUCUACAUCUCUACAGUAACCACAUGUCUUGUCCUGUUCCUUCCUGUCUACGUCUCUACAGUAACCACAUGUCUUGUCCUGUUCCUUCCUGUCUACAUCUCUACAGUAACCACAUGUCUUGUCCUGUUCUUUCCUGUCUACGUCUCUACAGUAACCACAUGUCUUGUCCUGUUCCUUCCUGUCUACGUCUCUACAGUAACCACAUGUCUUGUCCUGUUCCUUCCUGUCUACGUCUCUACAGUAACCACAUGUCUUGUCCUGUUCCUUCCUGUCUACGUCUCCACAGCAACCACAUGUCUUGUCCUGUUCCUUCCUGUCUACGUCUCCACAGCAACCACACACACACCAGGGGACUCCUGUUAGCUAUCGGCAGCAGGCCGAAAAAAGAAAAAAAAACUCUUUCAAAUAAUUUUUAUAAAGUAUCAGACAAGGUGUCGAACAGGAAGAUUGGAACGCUGUGAACCAAGAGCUGAGAUUAAACAUCCCAUCGGACAGAAAGCACACAACCAAAGGUGCGUGUAACGCUAGUCGUUGGAAUGAGGUGAGGAGGACCAAUGCGCAGCGUGGACCUGAGACCUAGGACCACGCCUCAGGACUACCUGGCCUGAUGACUCCUUGCUGUCCCCGGUCCACCUGGCCGUGCUGCUGCUCCAGUUUCAACUGUUCUGCAUUGCUUGCUGUUUGGGGUUUUAGGCUGUGUUGCUGUACAGCACUUUGUGACAUCGGCUGACGUAAAAACCGCUUUAUUAAUACAUUUAAUAUCGUUAAAAUCUAUGGUUAAUCACUGUGGUCAAUAUCUGUUGUUAAUAUCUAUGGUUAAUAUAUAUGGUUAAUAUAUAUGGUUAAUCACUGUGGUCAAUAUCUGUUGUUAAUAUCUAUGGUUAAUCACUGUGGUCAAUAUCUGUUGUUAAUAUCUAUGGUUAAUCACUGUGGUUAAUAUCUGUUGUUAAUAUCUAUGGUUAAUCACUGUGGUUAAUAUCUGUUGUUAAUAUCUAUGGUUAAUCACUGUGGUUAAUAUCUGUUGUUAAUAUCUAUGGUUAAUAUAUAUGGUUAUUAUCUAUGGUUAAUCACUGUGGUUAAUAUAUAUGGUUAUUAUCUAUGGUUAAUCACUGUGGUUAAUAUCUGUUGUUAAUAUCUAUGGUUAAUCACUGUGGUUAAUAUCUGUUGUUAAUAUCUAUGGUUAAUAUAUAUGGUUAUUAUCUAUGGUUAAUCACUGUGGUUAAUAUAUAUGGUUAUUAUCUAUGGUUAAUCACUGUGGUUAAUAUCUGUUGUUAAUAUCUAUGGUUAAUCACUGUGGUUAAUAUCUGUUGUUAAUAUCUAUGGUUAAUAUAUAUGGUUAAUAACUAUGGUUAACGACUAUGGUUAAUAUCUAUGCUUAUUAUCUAUGGUUAAUAACUAUGGUUAAUAAACUGGGACAUGCUUAACACCCCGGCCAUCCUACAAUCUAAGCUAGAUGCCCUCAAUCUCACACAAAUGAUCAAUGAACCUACCAGCUACAACCCCAAAUCCGUAAACACGGGCACCCUCAUAGAUAUCAUCCUAACCAACUUGCCCUCCAAAAACACCUCUGCUGUCUUCAAUCAAGAUCUCAGCGAUCACUGCCUCAUUGCCUGUAUCCGCCACGGGUCCGCGGCCAAACGACCACCCCUCAUCACUGUCAAACGCUCCCUGAAACACUUCAGCGAGCAGGCCUUUCUAAUCGACCUGGCCGAGGUAUCCUGGAAGGAUAUUGACCUCAUCCUGUCAGUAGAGGAUGCCUGGUUAUUCUUUAAAAGUGCCUUCCUCACCAUCUUAAAUAACCAUGCCCCAGUCAAAAAAUGUAGAACUAGUAACAGAUAUAGCCCUUGGUUCACUCCAGACCUGACUGCCCUUAACCAACAGAAAAACAUCCUGUGGCGUUCUGCAUUAGCAUCGAACAGCCCCCGUGAUAAGCUACUUUUCAGGGAGGUCAGGAACCAAUAUACACAAGCAGUUUGGAAAGCAAAGGUUAGCUUUUUCAAACAGAAAUUUGCAUCCUGUAGAACAAACUCAAAAAAGUUUUGGGACACUGUUAAGUCCAUGGAGAAUAAGAGCACCUCCUCCCAGCUGCCCACUGCACUCACUGAGGCUAGGAAACACUGUCAUCACCGAUAAAUCCACAAUAAUUGAGAAUUUCAAUAAACAUUUUUCUACGGCUGUCCAUGCUUUCCACCUAGCUACCCCUACCCCGGUCAACUGCCCUGCACUCCCACAGCAACUUGCCCAAGUCUCCCCCAUUUCUCCUUCACCCAAAACCAGAUAGCUGAUGUUCUGAAAGAUCUGCAAAAUCUGGACCCCUACAAAUUAGCCGGGUAAGACAAUAUGGACCCUCUCUUUCUAAAAUGAUCGUCCAAAAUUGUUGCAACCCCUAUUAAUUGCCUGUUCAACCUCUCUUUCAUAUCGUCUGAGAUCCCUAAAGAUUGGAAAGCUGCCGCGGUCAUCCCCCUCUUCGAAGGGGGAGACACUCUUGACCCAAACAGACCUAUAUCUAUCCUACCCUGCCUUUCUAAGGUCUUCGAAAGCCAAGUUAACAAACAAAUCACUGACUAUUUAGAAUCCCACCAUAUUCAUCGACCUGGCCAAGGCUUUCGACUCUGUCAAUCACCACAUUCUUAUCGGCAGACUCAACAGCCUUGGUUUCUCAAAUGACUGCCUCGCCUGGUUCAGCAACUACUCCUCAGACAGAGUUCAGUGUGUCAAAUUGGAGGGCUUUUUGUCUGGACCUCUGGCAGUCUCUAUGGGGGUGCCACAGGGUUCAAUUCUCGGGCCGACUCUCUUCUCUGUAUACAUCAAUGAUUUCGCUCUUGCUGCUGGUGAUUCUCUGAUCCACCUCUACGCAGACGACACCAUUCUGUAUACUUCUGGCCCUUCUUUGGACACUGUGUUAACUAACCUCCAGACGUGCUUCAAUGCCAUACAACUCUCCUUCCGUGGCCUCCAACUGCUCUUAAAUGCAAGUAAAACUAAAUGCAUGCUCUUCAACUGAUCGCUGCCCGCACCUGCCCGCCCAUCCAGCAUCACUACUACGGUUCUGACCUAGAAUAUGUGGACAACUACAAAAUACCUAGGUGUCUGGUUAGACUGUAAACUCUCCUUCCAGACGCACAUUAAGCAUCUCUAAUCCAAAGUUAAAUCUAGAAUUGGCUUCCUAUUUCACAACAAAGCAUCCUUCACUCACGCUGCCAAACAUACCCUCGUAAAACUGACCAUCCUACCGAUCCUCGACUUCGGCGAUGUCAUUUACAAAAUAGCCUCCAACAUUCUACUCAACAAACUGGAUGCAGUCUAUCACAGUGCCGUCCGUUUUGUCACUAAAGCCCCAUAUUCUACCCACCACUGAGACUUGUAUGCUCUCGUUGGCUGGCCCUCGCUUCAUAUUCGUUGCCAAACACACUGGCUCCAGGUCAUCUAUAAGUCUCUGUUAGGUAAAGCCCCGCCUUAUCUCAGUUCACUGGUCACCAUAGCAGCACCCACCCGCAGCACGCGCUCCAGCAGGUAUAUCUCACUGGUCACCCCCAAAGCCAAUUCCUCUUUUGGCCGCCUUUCCUUCCAGUUCUCUGCUGCCAAUGACUGGAACGAACUGCAAAAAUCACUGAAGCUGGAGACUCAUAUCUCCCUCACUAACUUCAAGCACCAGCUGUCAGAGCAGCUCACAGAUCACUGUACCUGUACACAGCCCAUCUCUAAAUAGUCCAUCCAAGUACUUCAUCCCCACACUGUAUUUAUUUAUUUAUCUUGCUCCUUUGCACCCCAGUAUCUCUACUUGCACAUUCAUCUUCUGCACAUCUACCAUUCCAGUGUUUAAUUGCUAUAUUAUAAUUACUUCGCCACCAUGGCCUAUUUAUUGCCUUACCUCCCUAAUCUUACCUCAUUUGCACACACUGUAUAUAGACUUAUUUUUUUCUACUGUAUUAUUGACUGUAGGUUUGUUUAUUCCAUGUGUAACUCUGUGUUGUUGUUUGUGUCGCACUGCUUUGCUUUAUAUUGACCAGGUCGCAGUUGUAAAUGAGAACUUGUUCUCAACUGGCCUACCUGGUUAAAUAAAGGUGAAAUAAAUAAAUAAUUAACAA